AACCUGGUAGUGCACUGCAGUGCAUCUGCUUAACAUGCAUAAUCGGUCGACUUCUAUGCAGAAGACCCCGGUUCGACUCUGGGCUAGGUUA